rnacentral:rRNA from 1 species
UACGUAGGUGGCGAGCGUUGUCCGGAAUUACUGGGCGUAAAGGGCGUGUAGGCGGGGCUACAAGUCAGAUGUGAAAUUCCACGGCUUAACUGUGGCGCUGCAUCUGAAACUGUGUCUCUUGAGUGCUGGAGAGGAAAGCGGAAUUCCUAGUGUAGCGGUGAAAUGCGUAGAUAUUAGGAGGAACACCAGUGGCGAAGGCGGCUUUCUGGACAGUAACUGACGCUGAGGCGCGAAAGCGUGGGGAGCAAACAGG